rnacentral:tRNA from 2 species
GCGCCCGUAGCUCAACUGGAUAGAGCACCAGACUACGAAUCUGGGGGUUGGGAGUUCGAGUCUCUCCGGGCGCGCCA